rnacentral:rRNA from 1 species
AACGAACGCUGGCGGCGUGCUUAACACAUGCAAGUCGAACGCGAAAGUUUUCUUCGGAAAGCGAGUAGAGUGGCGCACGGGUGAGUAACGCGUAAGUUAUCUACCUCGGCAUCUGGAAUAACUCACCGAAAGGUGUGCUAAUACCGGAUACGUUGAGUAAUCAGGAAAGGUGGCCUCUGAAUAUGCUACUGUGCUGAGAUGAGCUUGCGUACCAUUAGCUAGUUGGCAGGGUAAUGGCCUACCAAGGCGACGAUGGUUAGCGGGUCUGAGAGGAUGAUCCGCCACACUGGAACUGGAACACGGACCAGACUCCUACGGGAGCGCCAAGGCACACAGGGGAUAGG